GGUUAAGCGACUAAGCGUACACGGUGGAUGCCCUGGCAGUCAGAGGCGAUGAAGGACGUGCUAAUCUGCGAUAAGCGUCGGUAAGGUGAUAUGAACCGUUAUAACCGGCGAUUUCCGAAUGGGGAAACCCAGUGUGUUUCGACACACUAUCAUUAACUGAAUCCAUAGGUUAAUGAGGCGAACCGGGGGAACUGAAACAUCUAAGUACCCCGAGGAAAAGAAAUCAACCGAGAUUCCCCCAGUAGCGGCGAGCGAACGGGGAGCAGCCCAGAGCCUGAAUCAGUGUGUGUGUUAGUGGAAGCGUCUGGAAAGGCGCGCGAUACAGGGUGACAGCCCCGUACACAAAAAUGCACAUAUUGUGAGCUCGAUGAGUAGGGCGGGACACGUGGUAUCCUGUCUGAAUAUGGGGGGACCAUCCUCCAAGGCUAAAUACUCCUGACUGACCGAUAGUGAACCAGUACCGUGAGGGAAAGGCGAAAAGAACCCCGGCGAGGGGAGUGAAAAAGAACCUGAAACCGUGUACGUACAAGCAGUGGGAGCCUCUUUUAUGGGGUGACUGCGUACCUUUUGUAUAAUGGGUCAGCGACUUAUAUUCUGUAGCAAGGUUAACCGAAUAGGGGAGCCGAAGGGAAACCGAGUCUUAACUGGGCGUUAAGUUGCAGGGUAUAGACCCGAAACCCGGUGAUCUAGCCAUGGGCAGGUUGAAGGUUGGGUAACACUAACUGGAGGACCGAACCGACUAAUGUUGAAAAAUUAGCGGAUGACUUGUGGCUGGGGGUGAAAGGCCAAUCAAACCGGGAGAUAGCUGGUUCUCCCCGAAAGCUAUUUAGGUAGCGCCUCGUGAAUUCAUCUCCGGGGGUAGAGCACUGUUUCGGCAAGGGGGUCAUCCCGACUUACCAACCCGAUGCAAACUGCGAAUACCGGAGAAUGUUAUCACGGGAGACACACGGCGGGUGCUAACGUCCGUCGUGAAGAGGGAAACAACCCAGACCGCCAGCUAAGGUCCCAAAGUCAUGGUUAAGUGGGAAACGAUGUGGGAAGGCCCAGACAGCCAGGAUGUUGGCUUAGAAGCAGCCAUCAUUUAAAGAAAGCGUAAUAGCUCACUGGUCGAGUCGGCCUGCGCGGAAGAUGUAACGGGGCUAAACCAUGCACCGAAGCUGCGGCAGCGACGCUUAUGCGUUGUUGGGUAGGGGAGCGUUCUGUAAGCCUGUGAAGGUGUGCUGUGAGGCAUGCUGGAGGUAUCAGAAGUGCGAAUGCUGACAUAAGUAACGAUAAAGCGGGUGAAAAGCCCGCUCGCCGGAAGACCAAGGGUUCCUGUCCAACGUUAAUCGGGGCAGGGUGAGUCGACCCCUAAGGCGAGGCCGAAAGGCGUAGUCGAUGGGAAACAGGUUAAUAUUCCUGUACUUGGUGUUACUGCGAAGGGGGGACGGAGAAGGCUAUGUUGGCCGGGCGACGGUUGUCCCGGUUUAAGCGUGUAGGCUGGUUUUCCAGGCAAAUCCGGAAAAUCAAGGCUGAGGCGUGAUGACGAGGCACUACGGUGCUGAAGCAACAAAUGCCCUGCUUCCAGGAAAAGCCUCUAAGCAUCAGGUAACAUCAAAUCGUACCCCAAACCGACACAGGUGGUCAGGUAGAGAAUACCAAGGCGCUUGAGAGAACUCGGGUGAAGGAACUAGGCAAAAUGGUGCCGUAACUUCGGGAGAAGGCACGCUGAUAUGUAGGUGAAGUCCCUUGCGGAUGGAGCUGAAAUCAGUCGAAGAUACCAGCUGGCUGCAACUGUUUAUUAAAAACACAGCACUGUGCAAACACGAAAGUGGACGUAUACGGUGUGACGCCUGCCCGGUGCCGGAAGGUUAAUUGAUGGGGUCAGCGCAAGCGAAGCUCUUGAUCGAAGCCCCGGUAAACGGCGGCCGUAACUAUAACGGUCCUAAGGUAGCGAAAUUCCUUGUCGGGUAAGUUCCGACCUGCACGAAUGGCGUAAUGAUGGCCAGGCUGUCUCCACCCGAGACUCAGUGAAAUUGAACUCGCUGUGAAGAUGCAGUGUACCCGCGGCAAGACGGAAAGACCCCGUGAACCUUUACUAUAGCUUGACACUGAACAUUGAGCCUUGAUGUGUAGGAUAGGUGGGAGGCUUUGAAGUGUGGACGCCAGUCUGCAUGGAGCCGACCUUGAAAUACCACCCUUUAAUGUUUGAUGUUCUAACGUGGACCCGUGAUCCGGGUUGCGGACAGUGUCUGGUGGGUAGUUUGACUGGGGCGGUCUCCUCCUAAAGAGUAACGGAGGAGCACGAAGGUUGGCUAAUCCUGGUCGGACAUCAGGAGGUUAGUGCAAUGGCAUAAGCCAGCUUGACUGCGAGCGUGACGGCGCGAGCAGGUGCGAAAGCAGGUCAUAGUGAUCCGGUGGUUCUGAAUGGAAGGGCCAUCGCUCAACGGAUAAAAGGUACUCCGGGGAUAACAGGCUGAUACCGCCCAAGAGUUCAUAUCGACGGCGGUGUUUGGCACCUCGAUGUCGGCUCAUCACAUCCUGGGGCUGAAGUAGGUCCCAAGGGUAUGGCUGUUCGCCAUUUAAAGUGGUACGCGAGCUGGGUUUAGAACGUCGUGAGACAGUUCGGUCCCUAUCUGCCGUGGGCGCUGGAGAACUGAGGGGGGCUGCUCCUAGUACGAGAGGACCGGAGUGGACGCAUCACUGGUGUUCGGGUUGUCAUGCCAAUGGCACUGCCCGGUAGCUAAAUGCGGAAGAGAUAAGUGCUGAAAGCAUCUAAGCACGAAACUUGCCCCGAGAUGAGUUCUCCCUGACCCUUUAAGGGUCCUGAAGGAACGUUGAAGACGACGACGUUGAUAGGCCGGGUGUGUAAGCGCAGCGAUGCGUUGAGCUAACCGGUACUAAUGAACCGUGAGGCUUAACCUU
rnacentral:rRNA from 1 species